UACGUAGGGUGCAAGCGUUAAUCGGAAUUACUGGGCGUAAAGCGUGCGCAGGCGGUUUUGUAAGUUUGUCGUGAAAUCCCCGGGCUCAACCUGGGAAUGGCGAUGAAGACUGCAAGGCUAGAAUCUGGCAGAGGGGGGGUAGAAUUCCACGUGUAGCAGUGAAAUGCGUAGAGAUGUGGAGGAACACCGAUGGCGAAGGCAGCCCCCCUGGGUCAAGAUUGACGCUCAUGCACGAAAGGCGUG
rnacentral:rRNA from 1 species